GACGAACGCUGGCGGCGUGCCUAAUACAUGCAAGUCGAACGGAGUGGCGAACGGGCGAGUAAUGUAUCGGAACGUGCCCAGUAGCGGGGGAUAACUACGCGAAAGCGUAGCUAAUACCGCAUACUUUUGGAGCGGCCGAUACCGUAUUAGCUAGGUGGUGGGGUAACGGCUCACCAAGGAGACGAUCCGUAGCGGGUUUGAGAGGACGACCAUCCACACUGGGACUGAGACACGGCCCAGACUCCUACGGGAGGCAGCAGUGGGGAAUUUUGGACAAUGGGGGAAACCCUGAUCCAGCCAGCCCGCGUGGGCGAUGAAGGCCUUCGGGUUGUAAAGCACUUUUGGCAGGAAAGCGGUACCUGCAGAAUAAGCACCGGCUAACUACGUGCCAGCAGCCGCGGUAAUAC
rnacentral:rRNA from 1 species